rnacentral:rRNA from 1 species
UGACCUGCGGAAGGAUCAUUACCGAGUGAGGGCCCUCUGGGUCCAACCUCCCACCCAUGUUUAUUGUACCUUGUUGCUUCGGCGGGCCCGCCUCACGGCCGCCGGGGGGCUUCUGCCCUCUGGCCCGCGCCCGCCGAAGACACCAUUGAACACUGUCUGAAGAUUGCAGUCUGAGCAAUUAGCUAAAUAAGUUAAAACUUUCAACAACGGAUCUCUUGGUUCCGGCAUCGAUGAAGAACGCAGCGAAAUGCGAUACGUAAUGUGAAUUGCAGAAUUCAGUGAAUCAUCGAGUCUUUGAACGCACAUUGCGCCCCUUGGUAUUCCGGGGGGCAUGCCUGUCCGAGCGUCAUUGCUGCCCUCAAGCACGGCUUGUGUGUUGGGCCCCGUCCUCCUUCCCGGGGGACGGGCCCGAAAGGCAGCGGCGGCACCGCGUCCGGUCCUCGAGCGUAUGGGGCUUUGUCACCCGCUCUUGUAGGCCCGGCCGGCGCUUGCCGACAACCAUCAAUCUUUUUUCAGGUUGACCUCGGAUCAGGUAGGGAUACCCGCUGAACUUAAGCAUAUCAAUAAGCGGAGGAAAAGAAACCAACAGGGAUUGCCUCAGUAACGGCGAGUGAAGCGGCAAGAGCUCAAAUUUGAAAGCUGGCCCCCUCGGGGUCCGCAUUGUAAUUUGCAGAGGAUGCUUCGGGAGUGGCCCCCAUCUAAGUGCUCUGGAACGGGCCGUCAUAGAGGGUGA